GACGAACGCUGGCGGCGUGCCUAAUACAUGCAAGUCGAGCGGACGGAUGGGAGCUUGCUCCCAGACCGUCAGCGGCGGACGGGUGAGUAACACGUGGGCAACCUGCCUGUAAGACUGGGAUAACUCCGGGAAACCGGGGCUAAUACCGGAUAACUCUUUCCCUCACAUGAGGGAAAGCUGAAAGAUGGCAUCUCGCUAUCACUUACAGAUGGGCCCGCGGCGCAUUAGCUAGUUGGUGAGGUAACGGCUCACCAAGGCGACGAUGCGUAGCCGACCUGAGAGGGUGAUCGGCCACACUGGGACUGAGACACGGCCCAGACUCCUACGGGAGGCAGCAGUAGGGAAUCUUCCGCAAUGGACGAAAGUCUGACGGAGCAACGCCGCGUGAGUGAUGAAGGUUUUCGGAUCGUAAAACUCUGUUGUCAGGGAAGAACAAGUACCGGAGUAACUGCCGGUACCUUGACGGUACCUGAACAGAAAGCCACGGCUAACUACGCG
rnacentral:rRNA from 1 species